rnacentral:rRNA from 1 species
GACGAACGCUGGCGGCGUGCUUAACACAUGCAAGUCGAACGAUGAAGCUAGAGCUUGCUCUGGUGGAUUAGUGGCGAACGGGUGAGUAACACGUGAGUAACCUGCCCCGAACUCUGGGAUAACUGCUGGAAACGGUAGCUAAUACCGGAUAUGACCAAUGAAGGCAUCUUCUGUUGGUGGAAAGAAUUUCGGUUCGGGAUGGACUCGCGGCCUAUCAGCUUGUUGGUGAGGUAACGGCUCACCAAGGCGACGACGGGUAGCAGGCCUGGGAGGGUGAUCGGCCACACUGAGACUGAGACACGGACCAGACUCCGGCGGGAGGCAGCAGUGGGGAAUAUUGCACAAUGGGCGCAAGCCUGAUGCAGCAUCGCCGCGUGAGGGACGACGGCCUUCGGGUUGUAAACCUCUUUUAGUAGGGAAGAAGCGAAAGUGACGGUACCUGCAGAAAAAGCACCGGCUAACUACGUGCCAGCCGCCGCGGUAA